rnacentral:tRNA from 1 species
GGGGAUAUAGCUCAGGGGCACAGUGUCUGCCCAAUAAGCAUGACAUCCUGAGUUCAAUUCCUGGUACCCCCU